AUUUAGGUAACUUAAUUUGAAAGUGUUAUAUUGAAGAUAUAAAAAUAGGAUUAUUAUCCUCUUAAAUA
rnacentral:tRNA from 1 species